CUCCACUAUUUUAUAAAAGAGACAUCUUUGGGGGAAAGAAAGAAGACAUCCAACAAAGUUGGAACAACCCAUGAACCUGAUCGAGCAUGUUGGAUUGGACUGGCAACUGAUGGAGCUAAAGAAAGACUUCUUGACAAUUCCAUGUAUGGACAGCCUUACGGUGUUUAGUGCUCUCAGGUGCGGGAAGGUCAUGCUCGUUACUCAACUUUGUGACAAUGAGGAUAUCAAAUGUAAGUAUAAUCAUAUUAAUUCUUCGUUGACCAAAAAAAAAAUCAUAUUAAUUCUUCAAAAUCUUCCAAAACUUGUCCAGGGCAAAGCGAAAACAUAUGUGAUUUUUGAAAGUAACUUUUAUAAGCGACAAAGAAAAUGACAAUAUCUUAGCUCACUCACAACCUUACAUGUCUAUUUAUGUUCGAAAAAGAAUCAUAAUCUCAACUGCCAUUACCAAAUCCAAUAAUUUCAAAUGACAAAAUUAAAAAUAGUACAUUGAAGUUAUACAUUUUGUCUAUUGAAAAUUGGCAUCAUCACAUCAUAAAAUACUAGUAUUAAUUAGUUCGCUAAUCAUAGAAAACCAUAUAAAUGAGCAGACUAGCCCUUUUUAGGAUGAUGGUAAUAAGAUUGAAGUGUGUGAUGCCAAUUAUAACUUUCAAGAUAAAAAGACUCUAAGUUCACAUCAUUUUUGCUGUCAUCUCCAAUCCUCGCUCUCAUCUGUUUUUACAUAUAUGUUAUGAUUUUGAUUUUGAAAAAUAAAUACUCCUUUGUCUCAUUUUACAAGAUUGUUUUUGGCUAAAAAUGUCUGAAAUGUCUCACUUAUCAAAUUGUGGGCAUUGUUAUAAGCCCAUUAAUAGUCCAGCUCCAGCACAAAUGCUCUUAUCUUCCGAAAAGCAGCAAAGCACGGCUCCACUCACGUGCCAUACCCUACGCCUUAAGCACAGUCACAUGCCAUCAGUGUUCCAUUUCUUCAGCACGACGACAACUAUCAGAAAGUAAAAAACCUCAAUAAAUGUUACUAUUAGUAUUAUAUACUAUAAAAAGAAAGCUAUUUUGUUAAUUUACAUUUUUUUUUCUUUGCGUCAACUAUAUAAUUCACCGAUUUUUCAUAUUUCUCUUCGAAUAAAUUUUCCUAAACGACCUAUUUUUGAA